rnacentral:rRNA from 1 species
AGAGUUUGAUUCUGGCUCAGGAUGAACGCUGGCGGCGUGCCUAACACAUGCAAGUCGAACGAAGCACUUUGGAGGAAUCUUCGGAGGACACUGAAGUGACUGAGUGGCGGACGGGUGAGUAACGCGUGGGUAACCUGCCCUGUACAGGGGGAUAACAGCCAGAAAUGGCUGCUAAUACCGCAUAAGCGCACAAAAGGACAUCCUUUCGUGUGAAAAACUCCGGUGGUACAGGAUGGGCCCGCGUCUGAUUAGCUGGUUGGCGGGGUAACGGCCCACCAAGGCGACGAUCAGUAGCCGGUCUGAGAGGAUGAACGGCCACAUUGGAACUGAGACACGGUCCAA